GGGUGGCAUCACAUAUUUGUUUGAGAGUCAAUUGCAUUGUAUAUUUCUGAUCAUUAUAUAUAUAUAUAUUCUGAAUUUGCUAUGUACCUCUCAAACAUCUGUGGGUGCUUCUCCGAGGGCUCACCAGAAGAAUCUAAAAUAUACACAUGCGAUGGUAAUGUUUGUGUUCUGAAAACCCCAAAGAAGGAAAACCUUGGGAAGCCACAAACAUUAUCCCAUAGCAAGAAAUCAAAGCAUGGCCUUCAUAUUUCGUUUCCCCCUCGUGCCAAAAGGUCUCAUAGUUGUUAGAGAGAGAGCCUCAGGUUCUGCACGGUGCCAUCAACACAACAGUUUCAUAACAGCGACGCCAAAUCGAGGAUGCAAAGCUUGUGUAGAGACAUCCUACCAGAACCUAAUGUCCACCCCGUUCCCCACACUUCCAGAACCUCCCCUCAGUCGCUCCAUUUGUUGCUAUUCACUAUAUGCAUGUUCUCUUUGGAGUAUCACUUGUAUUCGCUCUGUUAAUAAUAUUCAUUUGCUGAUUAAAAAAAUACAUUACAAUAAUAAUAAUUAAUUUUUUAGUGUACCAAA